ACUCAUAAAACUUCAGAAUGUGACAUGUACUGAAUCUUGGCUGUGAUGAAAGCCGAGAAACAACAGCAAUUGAAGUGUAAUUGACAUCAGCACACAUAUAUUUAAUACAGUGAAUAUUAUGGGUAUUGCUAAAAGGAGAAGUGGACAUUGUUGCUGCACUCAAGUCACAUUCUGAAUAGGUAGUGUAAGUGGUACCAGUUGCUAAUGUCCCUGGUUUUGUUUAUGCUAUAAACAAACCCAGUGGAUUAAAAAACUGUUUUGAGCCACUCACUCAUAAAACUUCAGAAUGUGACUUGUACCAAAUCUUGACUGUGAUUAAAGCCAAAAGAAAAAUAACAGCAAUCGAAGUGUAAUUGUCAGAAGCAAACAGAUUCAAAACAUUGAAUAUGAUGGACAUGGCCAAAGAGAGAAGUGGACAUUGUUGCUGCACUCAAGUCACAUUCUGAAUAGGUAGUGUUUGUGGUUCCAGUUUCUAAUGUCCCUGGU